rnacentral:rRNA from 1 species
UGCUCGACUCUAAACUUUGAUUCGCCAGAGUACUACGAGCCACAGCUUAAAACUCAAAAGACUUGGCGGCGCCCCAUANCCCCCUAGAGGAGCCUGUUCUAUAAUCGAUAUUCCCCGAUAAACCUCACCACCUCUCGUUAACACAGCCUAUAUACCACCGUCCUCAGCUUACCCCUUAAAGGGAGAAUAGUAAGCAAAAUCAUUUUAAAUAAAAAAGUCAGGUCAAGGUGUAGCAAAUGAGGCGGAAAGAAAUGGGCUACAUUUUCUAUUAUAGAAUAUACAGAAUAUUUUAUGAAAUAUGAUAUGAAGGAGGAUUUAGAAGUAAAAGGAAAAAAGAGUGUUCUUUUUAAAUCGGCAAUAGAGCGCGCACACACCGCCCGUCACCCUCCUUACACACNAGNNAAAAAUUAAAUAAAUAUUAAUAUAACAAAAGGAGAUAAGUCGUAACAUGGUAAGCCUACCGGAAGGUGGGCUUGGAUAU